GGCUGGGCGGGACGGCACGGAGCAGAACCGGGGGUCGGUGUCACCUCGGGGAGGGAGAGGCGCGUCCCGGGCUGGGAACGCUGCGGGGCUCCCGGUUUCCUUUUAAACGCGUCCCCGCAGGUGCGUGCCUUGCCUGCGGAGCGCAAGGCAAGGCGCGGGUUUUGCUCUCUGAAGGACCAGGCACGCCGGUGGAGAAUCUUAAUUAAAAAUCCGCGAUAAUUAUCUCGUACCUGCCUUAUCCUUUCCGUAGGAAGGAGGGUUUGGUUAAGUUGUGGGAAAGUUGCCUGGUAGAGCUCAUGGAAAAAGCCGCUCUGGUUUUGGUUGGGUGCUGCUGUAAACUUUGGAAGUAGCGUCCUGAGAAGGAUUGCAAUCGAGGCGAAAAAAUGUAAAUAGUGCCAAACAUGUGCGGAUCACUUGUCCCCCUGUAAAUAAAUAAGCUGAAAUUUUGCACUUGUGGGGUUUUUGCCUGCCUUUUUCUUUUUUUUUUCCUCUCUCUCUGCAGUGGAAAAGUUCAGACUAGAAUUUUUUUUAGUUAAAUGUACUGUUCGACUCCUUAGGCUCAGCUGAGAGCUCCCACAUUCUCCAUCUCAUUCUCAUUCUUUGGGAAUCAGCAGCGGUACCUGUAACCCAGCACCUAUUUUUGGAGGCUGUUUGUUACAAAACACCUGCUACUCCAUUAACAAAUGGGAUUUUCCUUUUUUUAGAAGCAGAAUUGAGAGUGACACGGGUUUUUUGUAGGAAUGCCUUGGAAAAUGUGUUUGCAUGUUUUGCCUCUAACUCUGCUAUGGAAGAGCUUGUAACAGAGUGGGAAAAACACUGGGUUUGUCAAUCCUGAGCCACCCCACUGGCUGAAGAGGAUGGGGGAAAGCAAUUCCUUCCUUCAGCCUCUCACUUGGCAACAGAACCUUAAAUUCCCUGAUCCAUGUGCCACGUUCUCUGCAAGCCACAGGAUCAUCUUGUGAAGAUAAACAUGCAUUUCCCCUCUUCUGUUUCUUCAGUUGUUUGG